rnacentral:rRNA from 1 species
UGGGGAAUCUUGGACAAUGGGCGCAAGCCUGAUCCAGCCAUGCCGCGUGAGUGAUGAAGGCCUUAGGGUCGUAAAGCUCUUUCGCCUGUGAAGAUAAUGACGGUAGCAGGUAAAGAAACCCCGGCUAACUCCGUGCCAGCAGCCGCGGUAAUACGGAGGGGGUUAGCGUUGUUCGGAAUUACUGGGCGUAAAGCGCACGUAGGCGGACCAGAAAGUUGGGGGGUGAAAUCCCGGGGGCUCAACCCCGGAACUGCCUCCAAAACUAUUGGUCUAGAGUUCGAGAGAGGUGAGUGGAAUUCCAAGUGUAGAGGUGAAAUUCGUAGAUAUUUGGAGGAACACCAGUGGCGAAGGCGGCUCACUGGCUCGAUACUGACGCUGAGGUGCGAAAGUGUGGGGAGCAAACAGGAUUAGAUACCCUGGUAGUCCACACCGUAAAACGAUGAAUGCCAGUCGUCGGGUAGCAUGCUAUUCGGUGACACACCUAACGGAUUAAGCAUUCCGGCCUGGGGAGUACGGUCGCAAGAUUAAAACUCAAAUGAAUUG